AUUGAACGCUGGCGGCAUGCCUUACACAUGCAAGUCGAACGGCAGCACGGGGCAACCUGGUGGCGAGUGGCGAACGGGUGAGUAAUGCAUCGGAACGUACCUUUCAGUGGGGGAUAACGUAGCGAAAGUUACGCUAAUACCGCAUAUUCUGUGAGCAGGAAAGCAGGGGGUCGCAAGACCUUGCGCUGAUUGAGCGGCCGAUGUCAGAUUAGCUAGUUGGUGAGGUAAAGGCUCACCAAGGCGACGAUCUGUAGCGGGUCUGAGAGGAUGAUCCGCCGCACUGGAACUGAGACACGGUCCAGACUACUACGGGAGGCAGCAGUGGGGAAUUUUGGACAAUGGGGGCAACCCUGAUCCAGCCAUGCCGCGUGAGUGAAGAAGGGCGUCGGGUUGUAAAGCUCUUUCGGCCGGGAAGAAAUCGCACGGGCUAAUACCCUGUGUGGAUGACGGUACCGGAAUAAGAAGCACCGGCUAACUACGUACCAGCCGCCGCCGCGG
rnacentral:rRNA from 1 species